UACGUAGGGUGCAAGCGUUAAUCGGAAUUACUGGGCGUAAAGCGUGCGCAGGCGGUUCGCUAAGACAGAUGUGAAAUCCCCGGGCUUAACCUGGGAACUGCAUUUGAUACUGCGAAUCUUGAGUCCGAUAGAGGUGGGUGGAAUUCCCGGUGUAGAGGUGAAAUUCGUAGAUAUCGGGAGGAACACCGGUGGCGAAGGCGGCGAUCUGGGGUAGAUACUGACGCUGAGGUGCGAAAGCGUGGGGAGCAAAGCAGG
rnacentral:rRNA from 1 species